rnacentral:rRNA from 1 species
AACGAACGCUGGCGGCAGGCUUAACACAUGCAAGUCGAGCGAGACCUUCGGGUCUAGCGGCGGACGGGUGUGUAACGCGUGGGAACGUGCCCUUCUCUACGGAAUAGCUCCGGGAAACUGGGAGUAAUACCGUAUACGCCCUUUGGGGGAAAGAUUUAUCGGAGCAGGUUCGGCGCGCGUUGGAUUCGGUAGUUGUUUGGGUAAUGGGUCACCAAGCGGUCCAUUCAUAGAUGGGUUGAGAGGAUGAUCACCCACACUGGGAGUGAGACACGGCCCAGACUCCUACGGGAUGCAGCAGUGGGGAAUCUUAGACAAUGGGGGCAACCCUGAUCUAGCCAUGCCGCGUGAGUGAUGAAGGCCGUAAGGUUGUAAAGCUCGAUCAGCUGGGAAGAUAAUGACGGUACCAGCAGAAAAAGCCCCGGCUAACUCCGUG